rnacentral:rRNA from 1 species
GACGAACGCUGGCGGCGUGCCUAACACAUGCAAGUCGAGCGGAGUCGAUCGACGGAAGCCUUCGGGCGGAAGAUGGUUGACUUAGCGGCGGAUGGGUGAGUAACGCGUGGGCAACCUGCCUCGAAGGCCGGGAUAACAGCCCGAAAGGGCUGCUAAUACCGGAUGUGGUCAAGGAUCCGCAUGGAUUUUUGAUUAAAGGGGAAACCCGUUUCGAGAUGGGCCCGCGUCCUAUCAGCUAGUUGGUGAGGUAAAAGCUCACCAAGGCGACGACGGGUAGCCGGCCUGAGAGGGUGACCGGCCACACUGGAACUGAGACACGGUCCAGACUCCUACGGGGGCAGCAGUGGGGAAUCUUCCACAAUGGGCGAAAGCCUGAUGGAGCGACGCCGCGUGAGCGAAGAAGGCCUUCGGUGUAAGCUCUGUCUGGAGGGACGAAGGAAGUGACGGUACCUCCGGAGGAAGCCACGGCGUAACUACGUGCCAGCAGCCGCGGUAAAGCGUACGUAGA